UUUUUAGGUUUUUUUUUUCGCUCAGGACGAACGCUGGCGGCGUGCCUAAUACAUGCAAGUCGAGCGGACAGAUGGGAGCUUGCUCCCUGAUGUUAGCGGCGGACGGGUGAGUAACACGUGGGUAACCUGCCUGUAAGACUGGGAUAACUCCGGGAAACCGGGGCUAAUACCGGAUGGUUGUUUGAACCGCAUGGUUCAGACAUAAAAGGUGGCUUCGGCUACCACUUACAGAUGGACCCGCGGCGCAUUAGCUAGUUGGUGAGGUAACGGCUCACCAAGGCAACGAUGCGUAGCCGACCUGAGAGGGUGAUCGGCCACACUGGGACUGAGACACGGCCCAGACUCCUACGGGAGGCAGCAGUAGGGAAUCUUCCGCAAUGGACGAAAGUCUGACGGAGCAACGCCGCGUGAGUGAUGAAGGUUUUCGGAUCGUAAAGCUCUGUUGUUAGGGAAGAACAAGUGCCGUUCAAAUAGGGCGGCACCUUGACGGUACCUAACCAGAAAGCCACGGCUAACUACGUGCCAGCAGCCGCGGUAAUACGUAGGUGGCAAGCGUUGUCCGGAAUUAUUGGGCGUAAAGGGCUCGCAGGCGGUUUCUUAAGUCUGAUGUGAAAGCCCCCGGCUCAACCGGGGAGGGUCAUUGGAAACUGGGGAACUUGAGUGCAGAAGAGGAGAGUGGAAUUCCACGUGUAGCGGUGAAAUGCGUAGAGAUGUGGAGGAACACCAGUGGCGAAGGCGACUCUCUGGUCUGUAACUGACGCUGAGGAGCGAAAGCGUGGGGAGCGAACAGGAUUAGAUACCCUGGUAGUCCACGCCGUAAACGAUGAGUGCUAAGUGUUAGGGGGUUUCCGCCCCUUAGUGCUGCAGCUAACGCAUAAGCACUCCGCCUGGA
rnacentral:rRNA from 1 species